rnacentral:rRNA from 1 species
AUUACAACUUUCAACAACGGAUCUCUUGGUUCUGGCAUCGAUGAAGAACGCAGCGAAAUGCGAUAAGUAGUGUGAAUUGCAGAAUUCAGUGAAUCAUCGAAUCUUUGAACGCACAUUGCGCCCUUUGGUAUUCCAAAGGGCAUGCCUGUUCGAGCGUCAU